rnacentral:rRNA from 1 species
AUGAAGCAGACCGUGGUCCUGUACCCCGGUGCCGGCGGCGGUCACGUUCGCCCCAUGACAGAGCUCGCCAACGUCUUUCUCAAGCACGGCUACGACGUCACCAUGGUGCUCGUCGAGGAGCCCCUUAAGUUGUCAGACUCCGGCACCACCGUCAUAGAGCGCAUCGCUGCCUCUAACCCGUCCAUCUCCUUCCAUGUCCUCCCGUCCAUCCAUGCUCAAGACUUUGCCGCCUCCGGCAAGCACCCUUUCUUACUCAUGCUCGAGCUCUUGCACUAUUACAACGAGCAGUUCGAAGCAUUCCUCCGCGCCAUCGACCGGAAAAGCUUGCACUCUAUUGUCCUCGACAUGUUCUGCAUUGAUGCCACCGACGUUUGCAUGAAUCUCGGCGUUCCGGUGUACACGUUCUUCGCAGGGAGCGCCUCGUGCCUGUCAGCCCUAACCCAACUCCCGACACUGAUUGCCGGCAGGCAGACGGGCUUGAAGGAACUUGGGGACACGCCGCUCAAUUUCGUCGGCAUUCCGCCGAUGCCAGCGUCUCAUCUCAUCAAGGAACUGCUGGAGCACCCCGAAGAUGAGAUGUGCAAGGCCAUGAUGAACAUCUGGAAGCGCAAUACGGAGACCAUGGGCGUUCUCCUGAACACGUUCGAGUCGUUGGAGAGUCGGGCGGUGCAGUCUCUGAGGGGCCCGCUCUGCGUCCCCGAAAGGAUCCUGCCUCCGAUCUACUGCGUCGGUCCGUCAGUCGGCAAGGGCGCCAAGGAUGAGGAAAAAGUAGAGAGGAACGAAUGCCUCAAGUGGCUCGACGUGCAGCCCGACCGCAGUGUCGUGUUCUUCUGUUUGGGGAGUAAGGGCACGCUCUGGACAGAGCAGCUGAAGGAGAUAGCCAUUGGCUUUGAGAGGUCAGGGCAGCGGUUCCUAUGGUCCGUGCGCAUGCCUGCGGGAAGCGACAGCCCAGAAAAAAUACUUGGAAGGGCGCCCUGA